GCUGACUCUCUUUUCAGACUCAGCCCACUUGCACCCAAGUGAAUUAACAGCCUUGUUGCUCACACAAAGCCUGUUUAGGUGGUCUUCUAUACGGACAUGCUUGACACUUGGUGCCAAAAUCUGGGCCAGGGGGACUCCUUCGUGAGACCGGCCCCCUGUCCUGGCCCUCAUUCCGUGAAGAGAUCCACCUGCGACCUCGGGUCCUCAGACCAGCCCAAGGAACAUCUCACCAAUUUCAAAUCGGAUCUCCUCGGCUUAGUGGCUGAAGACUGAUGCUGCCCGAUCGCCUCAGAAGCCCCUUGGACCAUCACAGAUGCCGAGCUUCGGGUAACUCUUACGGUGGAGGGUGUCCACGCAGUCCCUGGUCACACUUGAAGCAGUCCGGAGAAAUAUCAGCCCUACCCCAGUAAUCCCCAGAAGGAACUUACACUUUUUUUUAAUCUUUUCCUACAACUUCAUAUUUUAUAAAUAAAAAGACAAAAAUGUCAGGCCUGUGAGCUGAAGCUUAGCCAUUGUAACCCCUGUGACCUGCACAUAUCCGUCCAGGUGGCCUGCAGGAGCCAAGAAGUCUGGAGCAGCCGAAAAACCACAAAGAAGUGAAACAGCCAGUUCCUGCCUUAACUAAUUAACCCACCUUACGACAUUCCACCAUUAUGACUUGUCCACCAUUAUGACUUGUUCCUGCCCUGCCCCAACUGAUCAAUCAACCCUGUGACAUUCUUCUCCUGGACAAUGAGUCCCAUCAUCUCUCCACCAUGCACCUUGUGACCCCCUCCUCUGCUGAGGAUAACCACCUUUAACUGUAACUUUCCACGCCUACCCAAGCCCUAUAAAGCUGCCCCUCUCCUAUCUCCCUUCACUGACUCUCUUUUCGGACUCAGCCCACUUGCACCCAAGUGAAUUAACAGCCUUGUUGCUCACACAAA
ensembl:lncRNA UCA1 urothelial cancer associated 1